rnacentral:rRNA from 1 species
GAUGAACGCUGGCGGCGUGCCUAAUACAUGCAAGUCGAGCGAACAGACGAGGAGCUUGCUCCUCUGACGUUAGCGGCGGACGGGUGAGUAACACGUGGAUAACCUACCUAUAAGACUGGGAUAACUUCGGGAAACCGGAGCUAAUACCGGAUAAUAUAUUGAACCGCAUGGUUCAAUAGGGAAAGACGGUUUUGCUGUCACUUAUAGAUGGAUCCGCGCCGCAUUAGCUAGUUGGUAAGGUAACGGCUUACCAAGGCGACGAUGCGUAGCCGACCUGAGAGGGUGAUCGGCCACACUGGAACUGAGACACGGUCCAGACUCCUACGGGAGGCAGCAGUAGGGAAUCUUCCGCAAUGGGCGAAAGCCUGACGGAGCAACGCCGCGUGAGUGAUGAAGGUCUUCGGAUCGUAAAACUCUGUUAUUAGGGAAGAAAAGAAUCUUUGCGAAGAUAGUUGACGGUACCGGCAGAAUAAGCCACGGCUAACUACGUGCCAGCAGCCGCAGUAACAC